rfam:Nicotiana attenuata strain TT chromosome 12, whole genome shotgun sequence.
AUUGUUUUCUCGACCUUUUGGUUAAGAUCAAGUAUAGUAUCUGUUCUUUCACAACUGUAAUUAUUAAGUACUAAUAUAAAAGAGGAGAAAAUUCUC